rnacentral:rRNA from 1 species
UACAGAGGUGGCAAGCGUUGUUCGGAAUUACUGGGCGUAAAGGGCGCGUAGGCGGCCUUCUAAGUCAGACGUGAAAUCCCCCGGCUUAACCUGGGAACUGCGUCUGAUACUGGGAGGCUAGAGUAUGGGAGAGGGAUGUGGAAUUCCAGGUGUAGCGGUGAAAUGCGUAGAGAUCGGGCGGAACACCAGCGGCGAAGGCGGCAUCCUGGUCCUGUUCUGACGCUGAGGCGCGAGAGCGUGGGGAGCGAACUGG